UCAGAUCCACAGGCCAGAUCAUCAUCUCUGUGGGAGUGGGGUAAAGGCCCACUUGGAAGAUUGAAAGUUCACAAUUGUUUUGUGCUGGGGCCUCAAACUCAAGGCUUUUCUUAAUGCUAAGCAAGGUCUCCUCCACUCUGCUAUGCCCUCAGUCUUACAAUAGUUUCCAAUGCUACGAUCAAACUUAAGUCUCCCUGCAUGGAAAACACUAGCACUGAGCUAUAAUCCUGACUCACAAUCUUUUUUAACCUUUCGUUUGUCUCCCCACUCUCCUCCUCCUCUUUCUCCUUUUCUUUACUUUUCAUUCCCCAACCCCCAAUUCUCCUGCUCAGAUGAGCCAAUGGUGAUCUUGAACUUCUGAUCCUCCUAUUUGUGACACUGUGGCUGCUGUGUGCGCUAGCCAAUCUCUCCUCUGACUGAGUUAAAUUUCCCUUUGUCUUGUUGUUAGACGGGCUGGUACUGCAGGCCAGGUUGGCGCUGGGCCUCUCUCUGAUUCUGCUCUGGCUUCAGUUUCCUGUGAGCUAGGAUUACAGACAUGAACCAUCAAGCUUGGCUUUUUCUUCCUUAAGAAGUACUGUUUUCAUUUCCCAAGCUGGCUUUAAACUUCGCAUCCUUUUAUCCAAACAUCCCAAGGAACUAUGAUCACAAGUAUGUACCACAAAGCCCAGCUCCUACAAUAUAUGUGUAUAUAAGUAUGUAUCCAGUACAUGUAUAUCUUUUCAUGUGUGUCGGUAGGUGGGUGAAUAGACACACACAUGGCAGUGUGUACGCACAUUGUAAUGGUUUGAAUAAGAGUGACCUCCAUAGACUUUGAAUGCUUGGUCCCUAGUGUGUAUAACUGUUUUGGGAAGGAUUAGGAGAUGUGGCUUUGUUGGGGUAAGGAGUGUGAUGGUGGUGGGCUUUGAGCUUUCAAAUCCCCGAGCCAGGCCCAGUCUCACUCUCAGCUACAGCUCAGAGCCAUACUUGCCUGCCUGCUGCCUUGUUUCCUGCCACAGUGGUCAUCAACUUUACCUUCUGAAACUAGACUGAACUACCAACCAAAGAGAGAGCACAGGCUGGACCUAGGUCCCCUGCACAAUGCGGCAGACAAGCAGCUUGGUCUUCAUGCUGGUCCCCCAAACAACUGGAGCAGGGGCUGUCCCUGAGCCUGUUGCCUACCUGUGGAUCCUGUGACCCUAAAUGGACAGCCUUGUCUGGCCUCAGUGUGCACUACGCCUGAGUCGAAUUCUCGCCAUGUUGUCUUACAAGACUUUCAGAAUCAAGCAAUUCCUGGCCAAGAAACAAAAGCGAAAUUGUCCUUUUCCUCAAUGGAUUCCGAUGAAAAUUGGUAAUAAAACAAAACAAAA